GGCUGUCACUUACAGAUGGGCCCGCGGCGCAUUAGCUAGUUGGUGGGGUAACGGCUCACCAAGGCAACGAUGCGUAGCCGACCUGAGAGGGUGAUCGGCCACAUUGGGACUGAGACACGGCCCAAACUCCUACGGGAGGCAGCAGUAGGGAAUCUUCCGCAAUGGACGAAAGUCUGACGGAGCAACGCCGCGUGAGUGAAGAAGGCCUUCGGGUCGUAAAACUCUGUUGCCGGGGAAGAACAAGUGCCGUUCGAACAGGGCGGCGCCUUGACGGUACCCGGCCAGAAAGCCACGGCUAACUACGUGCCAGCAGCCGCGGUAAUACGUAGGUGGCAAGCGUUGUCCGGAAUUAUUGGGCGUAAAGCGCGCGCAGGCGGCUUCUUAAGUCUGAUGUGAAAUCUUGCGGCUCAACCGCAAGCGGUCAUUGGAAACUGGGAGGCUUGAGUGCAGAAGAGGAGAGUGGAAUUCCACGUGUAGCGGUGAAAUGCGUAGAGAUGUGGAGGAACACCAGUGGCGAAGGCGGCUCUCUGGUCUGUAACUGACGCUGAGGCGCGAAAGCGUGGGGAGCAAACAGGAUUAGAUACCCUGGUAGUCCACGCCGUAAACGAUGAGUGCUAAGUGUUAGAGGGUUUCCGCCCUUUAGUGCUGCAGCUAACGCAUUAAGCACUCCGCCUGGGGAGUACGGCCGCAAGGCUGAAACUCAAAGGAAUUGACGGGGGCCCGCACAAGCGGUGGAGCAUGUGGUUUAAUUCGAAGCAACGCGAAGAACCUUACCAGGUCUUGACAUCCUCUGACCUCCCUGGAGACAGGGCCUUCCCCUUCGGGGGACAGAGUGACAGGUGGUGCAUGGUUGUCGUCAGCUCGUGUCGUGAGAUGUUGGGUUAAGUCCCGCAACGAGCGCAACCCUUGACCUUAGUUGCCAGCAUUCAGUUGGGCACUCUAAGGUGACUGCCGGUGACAAACCGGAGGAAGGUGGGGAUGACGUCAAAUCAUCAUGCCCCUUAUGACCUGGGCUACACACGUGCUACAAUGGAUGGUACAAAGGGCUGCGAGACCGCGAGGUUAAGCCAAUCCCAGAAAACCAUUCCCAGUUCGGAUUGCAGGCUGCAACCCGCCUGCAUGAAGCCGGAAUCGCUAGUAAUCGCGGAUCA
rnacentral:rRNA from 2 species